GCAUAAACUCUUUGAGGAUAUAUUUAGGUUGCCUGUUGCAAGGCAAAAUUUCUUCCACUAUUAUUAACAAUUUUUUUUUUAUGUUUUGAUUGAUAUGCCAAAAUUCCUUCUCUUUUUGUCCUGAAUAAGCCACUUACCGGAACCUAACUUUUGUUUUUCUUGCUAAUUCAUGAUCUUUGUUCUAAUCCUGUGAGUGCAUCCAAUGUAUUCAUUUGAUAAUAAGUAAUCAAUAAUCUGUCAGGUUAUUUUUUACACCAACUUUGCUGAAUUUACAGUCAUGGUUAUUUUAAAAACAAAAAAAAAAUAAUUAUGGUGCCAUUAUAGAUAUUGUUUUAGAUCACAGCCAUGCUCACCAAUAGUGAAUGUGAUAUCUGCUAGUACACCACAAAUUGUGGCAAACUCACUUGCACUUAAGUGAUUUUUUUUUUUUUUUGAGAAAUGGAUAAAAGAAUGUGGCAUAUAAUAUUUUAUAUAAGAUGUUAUAUUUUUUAUAACUGUUUUUUUUUUUUAUGUCAUGUGAUAUUUUUUAUAUCCCCAUCCAGUGAAGUGGGGGAUAUGUAUUUAUCAUUGUUUGUGUUUGUUUGUGUUUAUCUGUUUUCUGUUUGUUGUUUGCACUCUAAAUCCACAACUCCUCUAAAAACAGCUAUUUACAGAAUAUCUUCUGAGACCUAAUGAGUCUAUGCUUCCUUACUUUUCUAUACAUAUGAAAUUUUGGGUUUCUCGUAACAAAGCAUGGACUUUCCCAUAUACUGAUGUCAAUAUGCAUCUUAAAUUGUGAGGGGAACAUUCUUUGAAUCUUAAUUACAAAAUGCAACUUAUUUCAUAUUUUGAUCUGAAAUACAUUUAUUUUUAGAUUGAACUUCACAUCUAUAUGAAUAGGGUGAGACAUCUUGUAUUGGCAAUUCCUCUCAGGCAUUUGCAGGAUUGCUAACUUUGCUCUUAUAAUUCAGUAUAUAAAAGUAUUUGGAGUUGUGGAUAUAUUAACUUUAGCUCGACUUAAAGUUUUUCUACUUAUACAUUUAAUUUAUUUGUUAUAAAUUUGAUAUUUACACUAAAACUAUUUAAUGAUUAAAAGACUUUAUUUUGAUAUUGUUAUAUUUGUUUUUUUUUUGGUGAUACCCCUUCAAGCUACAGACUU
rnacentral:lncRNA from 1 species